AGUCGAGGGGCAGCAUUUCAGUUUGCUUGCAAACUGGAGAUGGCGACCGGCGCACGGGUGAGUAACACGUAUCCAACCUGCCGAUAACUCGGGGAUAGCCUUUCGAAAGAAAGAUUAAUACCCGAUGGUAUAAUCAGACCGCAUGGUCUUAUUAUUAAAGAAUUUCGGUUAUCGAUGGGGAUGCGUUCCAUUAGGCAGUUGGUGAGGUAACGGCUCACCAAACCUUCGAUGGAUAGGGGUUCUGAGAGGAAGGUCCCCCACAUUGGAACUGAGACACGGUCCAAACUCAUACGGGAGGCAGCAGUGAGGAAUAUUGGUCAAUGGGCGCAGGCCUGAACCAGCCAAGUAGCGUGAAGGAUGACUGCCCUAUGGGUUGUAAACUUCUUUUAUAUGGGAAUAAAGUUUUCCACGUGUGGAAUUUUGUAUGUACCAUAUGAAUAAGGAUCGGCUAACUCCGUGCCAGCAGCCGCGGUAAUACGGAGGAUCCGAGCGUUAUCCGGAUUUAUUGGGUUUAAAGGGAGCGUAGGUGGACAGUUAAGUCAGUUGUGAAAAGUUUGCGGCUCAACCGUAAAAUUGCAGUUGAUACUGGCUGUCCUGAGUACAGUAGAGGUGGGCGGAAUUCGUGGUGUAGCNGGUGAAAAUGCUUAGAUAUCACGAAGAACUCCGAUUGCGAAGGCAGCUCACUGGACUGCAACUGACACUGAUGCUCGAAAGUGUGGGUAUCAAACAGGAUUAGAUACCCUGGUAGUCCACACAGUAAACGAUGAAUACUCGCUGUUUGCGAUAUACAGUAAGCGGCCAAGCGAAAGCAUUAAGUAUUCCACCUGGGAGAGUACGCCNGGCAACGGUGAAACCNCAAAGGAAUUGGACGGGGGCCCCGCACAACCGGAGGAACAUGGGGUUUAAUUNCGAUGAUACGCGAAGAACCUUACCCGGGCUUAAAUUGCAUUUGAAUAAUUUGGAAACAGGUUAGCCGCAAGGCAAAUGUGAAGGUGCUGCAUGGUUGUCGUCAGCUCGUGCCGUGAGGUGUCGGCUUAAGUGCCAUAACGAGCGCAACCCUUAUCUUUAGUUACUAACAGGUCAUGCUGAGGACUCUAGAGAGACUGCCGUCGUAAGAUGUGAGGAAGGUGGGGAUGACGUCAAAUCAGCACGGCCCUUACGUCCGGGGCUACACACGUGUUACAAUGGGGGGUACAGAAGGCAGCUACCUGGUGACAGGAUGCUAAUCCCAAAAGCCUCUCUCAGUUCGGAUCGAAGUCUGCAACCCGACUUCGUGAAGCUGGAUUCGCUAGUAAUCGCGCAUCAGCCAUGGCGCGGUGAAUACGUUCCCGGGCCUUGUACACACCGCCCGUCAAGCCAUGAAAGCCGGGGGUACCUGAAGUACGAACCGCAAGAGCUCCUAGG
rnacentral:rRNA from 1 species